AAACCGCUAGGGGUUAAGCCCGAUGAACCUGAAUAUCUGAAUGAGAAAUUCAAUACUAUUUUGUUAUUUAUCUAAACAAUAAAUAAUCGAUGGUAUGCACUUUUCUCAUAGUAGGACAUUGCGAUCCAUUAGUAUAUCUCUUUGAGAUGGUUUAUCAUACGGCCUGCUAGUUAGUUUAGCCUAUCUGCAAUACUUGUAUUGUAUGGUUAAUACUAUUGUGGUGUCCUGGUAAACAGCUGAUGGAGCUUAACAAUCAUGCAGCCAUGCAAAUGUAUCACGAUUUUUAUAUAUUUAUAUAUUUAAAUGCAGUGAUCGCAUGUAUUUGAUUAGCAAUGCGAUAGAUUUGGGAUACCUUCGGGACCCGUCUUGAAACACGGACCAAGAAGUCUAACAUGUGUGUAAGUCAUUGGGUAUUUUGUUGAAACCUAAAGGCGAAAUUAAAAUAACUAUUUUAUGGGAUUACAAGUAGUCUAUAAUGACUACUUCUCCAUCCCGGGGCGUUCUUAUUGAACAUGGUUUAAGCAAUUAGACCCUCUGUUCUAGAGCGUACCUUGAACAUACAUGCUGUGACCC
rnacentral:rRNA from 1 species